UACGGGAGCACAUCAGCGGCAGACGGGUGAGUAACACGUAGAUGACGUACCCUCAAGACGGGGAUAACGGAUGGAAACAUGCGCUAAUACCGGAUGACCUUACGAUGUCAGAAUGGUAAGGAAAGCUACGGCGCUUGAGGAGCGGUCUGCGGCCCAUCAGCUAGUUGGUAGGGUAAAGGCCUACCAAGGCGAAGACGGGUAGGGGGUGUGAGAGCACGGNCCCCCACAAUGGGACUGAGACACGGCCCAUACUCCUACGGGAGGCAGCAGCAGGGAAUAUUGCACAAUGGACGGAAGUCUGAUGCAGCGACGCCGCGUGAGUGAAGAAGGCCUUCGGGUUGUAAAACUCCUUUGAGGGGGAAGAGCGAGGACGGUACCCCUGGAAUAAGCGUCGGCUAACUACGUGCCAGCAGCCGCGGUAAGACGUAGGACGCGAGCGUUAUCCGGAUUUACUGGGCGUAAAGCGUCUGUAGGCGGAUGUGUAAGUUGGGCGUGAAAGCUCCGGGCUUAACCCGGAGAGGCCGUUCAAUACUGCAUAACUUGAGGGUGUCAGAGGGGAGCGGAAUUCCCGGUGUAGCGGUAAAAUGCGCAGAGAUCGGGAGGAACACCAGUGGCGGAGGCGGUUCCCUGGGGCACACCUGACGCUGAGAGACGAAAGCUAGGGGAGCGAACAGGAUUAGAGACCCUGGUAGUCCUAAGCCCUAAACGAUGAAUGCUAGGUGUGGGAUCGAAUGGUUCCGUGCCGGAGCGAACGCGAUAAG
rnacentral:rRNA from 1 species